rnacentral:rRNA from 1 species
AUACGUAGGUGGCAAGCGUUAUCCGGAUUUACUGGGCGUAAAGGGCGUGUAGGCGGGCUUGUAAGUCAGGAGUGAAAUUCCUGGGCUCAACCCGGGCGUUGCUUUUGAAACUGCUGGUCUUGAGUGCUGGAGGGGAUAGCGGAAUUCCUAGUGGAGGGGUGAAAUGUGUAGAUAUCAGGAAGAACACCGGUGGCGAAGGAGGCUAUCUGGACAGUAACUGUCGGUGAGGCAAGAAAGCAUGGGUAGCAAACAGAAUGAGAUACCCUGGUAGUCCACGCCGUAAACGAUGAAUGCUAGGUGUAGGUGGUAUCGAAUCCCUCUGUGCCGCAGUUAACACAAUAAGUGUUCCGCCUGGGGAGUACGGCCGCAAGGUUGAAACUCAAAUGAAUUGACGGGG